CUUUACGGUCAGGGGGGCGAGCUGCGGGCGCGCGCACGUCUAGAAAGAGAGGCACCGGCGGCGGCGUCGCGGCCGCACGGACGCGCACGCAGGCACGCGCAGGUAAAGGGACACAUCACAGUUUUGACUACAGCAGAAUUAAGGAUUCAGAGAAACGUAAGUAUAUGUUUUGUUUUGACUUUUCUCAGGUUCUUAAUAUUUUGGUUGCUCUUGUAAAAACCCAACUUUGGGGCUUGUGUGAAAGGAAAAUAAAUCUUGGGACCCCAUAAUCACUAAACCAAAGGGGACAGUCAAGCUGGGAACUGCAUCAGGCAAACCUGCCUCCCAUUCUAUUCCUAAAAAAGAUAGCUACUAAGAUUAAAAAGCUACCUACCUCCCUCACAAGGAAAUUCCUUGUGGACAAAUGACAGAACUCGGAGCCACCCAUCUGCUCACUGAGAUAGAUGCAUCUCUGACUGCCUCCUUUGGAAAGGCCAAUCAGAAACUCAAAAGAAUGCAACUGUUUGUCUCUUAUCUACCUAUUAACUGAAAGCCCCUGCCCUGCUUCAAGUUGUCUGGCCUGUCUGGACCAAACCAAUGUACAUCUUACAUAUAUUGAUUGAUGUCCCAUGUCUCCCUAAAAUGUAUAAAACUAAGCUGUACCCCAACCACCUUGGGCACAUGUCAUCAGGACCUCCUGAGGCCAUGUCAUGGGUGUGUGUCCUUAACCUUGGCAAAAUAAACUUUCUUUUUUUUUUUCACAUUUCUUUCAUUUUUUUUAUUAUUAUUAUACUUUAAGUUUUAGGGUACAUGUGCACAAUGUGCUGGUUAGUUACAUAUGUAUACAUGUGCCAUUCUGGUGUGCUACACCCAUUAACUCGUCAUUUAGCAUUAGGUAUAUCUCCUAAUGCUAUGCCUCCCCCCUCCCCCCACCCCACAACAGUCCCCAGAGUGUGAUGUUCCCCUUCCCGUGUCCAUGUGUUCUCAUUUUCAAUUCCCAUCUAUGAGUGAGAACAUGCGGUGUUUAGUUUUUUGUCCUUGCGAUAGUUUACUGAGAAUGAUGAUUUCCAAUUUCAUCCAUGUCCCUACAAAGGACAUGAACUCAUCAUUUUUUAUGGCUGCAUAGUAUUCCAUGGUGUAUAUGUGCCACAUUUUCUUAAUCCUGUCUAUCAUUGUUGGACAUUUGGGUUGGUUCCAAGUCUUUGCUAUUGUGAAUAGUGCCGCAAUAAACAUACGUGUGCAUGUGUCUUUAUAGCAGCAUGAUUUAUAGUCCUUUGGGUAUAUACCCAGUAAUGGGAUGGCUGGGUGAAAUGGUAUUUCUAGUUCUAGAUCCCUGAGGAAUCGCCACACUGACUUUCACAAUGGUUGAACUAGUUUACAGUCCCACCAACAGUGUAAAAGUGUUCCUAUUUCUCCACAUCCUCUCCAGCACCUGUUGUUUCCUGACUUUUUAAUGAUUGCCAUUCUAGCUGGUGUGAGAUGGUAUCUCAUUGUGGUUUUGAUUUGCAUUUCUCUGAUGGCCAGUGAUGGUGAGCAUUUUUUCAUGUGUCUUUUGGCUGCAUAAAUGUCUUCUUUUGAGAAGUGUCUGUUCAUAUCCUUCUCCCACUUUUUGAUGGGGUUGUUUGUUUUUUUCUCAUAAAUGUGUUUGAGUUCAUUGUAGAUUCUGGAUAUUAGCCCUUUGUCAGAUGAGUAGGUUGCGAAAAUUUUCUCCCAUUUUGUAGGUUGCCUGUUCACUCUGAUGGUAGUUUCUUUUGCUGUGCAGAAGCUCUUUAGUUUAAUUAGAUCCCAUUUGUCAAUUUUGGCUUUAGUUGCCAUUGCUUUUGGUGUUUUAGACAUGAAGUCCUUGCCCAUGCCUAUGUCCUGAAUGGUAAUGCCUAGGUUUUCUUCUAGGGUUUUUAUGGUUUUAGGUCUAACGUUUAAGUCUUUAAUCCAUCUUGAAUUAAUUUUUGUGUAAGGUGUAAGGAAGGGAUCCAGUUUCAGCUUUCUCCAUAUGGCUAGCCAGUUUUCCCAGCACCAUUUAUUAAAUAGGGAAUCCUUUCCCCAUUGCUUGUUUUUCUCAGGUUUGUCAAAGAUCAGAUAGUUGUAGAUGUGCGGCGUUAUUUUUGAGGGCUCUGUUCUGUUCCAUUGAUCUAUAUCUCUGUUUUGGUACCAGUACCAUGCUGUUUUGGUUACUGUAGCCUUGUAGUAUAGUUUGAAGUCAGGUAGCGUGAUGCCUCCAGCUUUGUUCUUUUGGCUUAGGAUUGACUUGGCAAUGCGGGCUCUUUUUUGGUUCCAUAUGAACUUUAAAGUAGUUUUUUUCCAAUUCUGUGAAGAAAGUCAUUGGUAGCUUGAUGGGGAUGGCAUUGAAUGUAUAAAUUACCUUGGGCAGUAUGGCCAUUUUCACGAUAUUGAUUCUUCCUACCCAUGAGCAUGGAAUGUUCUUCCAUUUGUUUGUAUCCUCUUUUGUUUCAUUGAGCAGUGGUUUGUAGUUCUCCUUGAAGAGGUCCUUCACGUCCCUUGUAAGUUGGAUUCCUAAGUAUUUUAUUCUCUUUGAAGCAAUUGUGAAUGGGAGUUCACUCAUGAUUUGGCUCUCCGUUUGUCUGUUAUCGGUGUAUAAGAAUGCUUGUGAUUUUUGUACAUUGAUUUUGUAUCUUGAGACUUUGCUGAAGUUGCUUAUCAGCUUAAGGAGAUUUUGGGCUGAGACAAUGGGGUUUUCUGGAUAUACAAUCAUGUCAUCUGCAAACAGGGACAAUUUGACUUCCUCUUUUCCUAAUUGAAUACCCUUUAUUUCCUUCUCCUGCCUAAUUGCCCUGGCCAGAACUUCCAACACUAUGUUGAAUAGGAGUGGUGAGAGAGGGCAUCCCUGUCUUGUGCCAGUUUUCAAAGGGAAUGCUUCCAGUUUUUGCCCAUUCAUUAUGAUAUUGGCUGUGGGUUUGUCAUAGAUAGCUCUUAUUAUUUUGAGAUACGUCCCAUCAAUACCGAAUUUAUUGCGAGUUUUAGCAUGAAGGGUUGUUGAACUUUGUCAAAGGCCUUUUCUGCAUCUAUUGAGAUAAUCAUGUGGUUUUUGUCUUUAGUUCUGUUUAUAUGCUGGAUUACAUUUAUUGAUUUGCGUAUAAUAAACUUUCUUAAUUGACUGAUGCAUGUCUUAGAUAUUUGGGGUUCACACUUGACAUAUCGGAGACAGCUAGCUCAUACAUUUUUUAUAUGAAUAAAAAUAAGUGACUCAAACAAAAAUGAGAUACUACUAAGCACCUAUUAGAAUAGUCAAAAUCCAGAACACCUACAACACCAAAUGCUGUUGAGGACUUGAAUCAACAGGAACUUUUAUUCCUUGCUCGUGAGAAUGCAAAAUUAUACUGCCAUUUUGGAAGACAGUUUGGUAGUUUCUUACAAAACUAAGCCAUAUUCUUACAAUAGGAUCCAGCAAUCACAUUCCUUGGUAUUUAUCCAAAUGAGUUGGAAACUUAGGCUCGCACAGAAAUCUGCAGGUGGACGUGUCUACCAGCUUUAACUGUAGUUGGCAAAACUUGGAAGCAAUCUAGAUGUCCUUCCAUAGGUGAAUGGAUACAAAAACUGUGGUACAUCCAGACAGUGGAAUAUUAAUCAGCAUUAAAAAGAAAUGUGUCAUCAAGCCAUGAAAAGACAUGGAGGAAACUAAAAUGCAUAUUAUUUAAGUGAAGUCAAUCUGAAAAGACUCCAUAUUGUAUACUUCCAACUGUAUGACAUUCUAGGAAAGGUAAAACUUUGGAGAUGGUAAAAAGAUCUGAGUGGAUUGGGAGGGAUGAAUGGGGGGAGCCACGGGAUUUUUACGGCAGUGGUGAAACUACUCUGUAUGAUACCAUAAUGGUAGACACAUGUCGUUAUCCAUUCAUCCAAACCCAUAGAAUGUACAGCACCAAGAGUGAGCACUUAGGUAAACUAAGGACUUCAGGUGAUUAUGAUGCAUUAAUGUGGAUGCAUCAGUUGCAACAAACUUACCGCUGUGUGGGAGAUGUUGAUGGGAAGGGGAGGGUAUGCAGGUUGGGGAACAGAUGUUGUAUGGGAGGUCUCUAUACUUUCUGCUGUGAACCCAAAACUGCUUUAAACUGCUAUUUAAACGGGAGGAAAUAAACCCAUCAAAAAACCAAAUGGCUCCCGAAAGGUGGAUGAGUUCAAAAACAGCACCUCUUCCCUGGGGUGAGGUUAGAUUGGGCCCCACUCCUCCAGGUGUUCUUGUGCAGGGCAGAAAUGCCAGGUGCACAACAUGCAUCCAGGGACUGAUGAGCUAGCGUUUCUUUGUUUUCUCUUUUAUUUAUUUCUUUCGAAUUGCUUUUUCUUUUUUUUUUGAAACAGAGUUUCACUCUGUCGCCCAGGUUGGAGUGCGGUGGUGCGAUCUCGGCUUAGUGCAACCUCUGCCUCCCGGGUUCAAGCAGUUCUUCUGCUUCAGCCUCCUGUAGCUGGGAUUACAGGCACCCACCACCACACCCAGCUAAUUUUUUUAUUUUUAGUAGAGAUGGGGUUUUGCCAUGUUGGCCUGGCUGGUCUUGAACUCCUGACCUCAAGCAAUCCACCUGCCUUGGCCUCCCAAAUUGUUGGGAUUACAGGAGUGAGCCACCAUGCCCAGCCUCUUUCAUUAAUUUCUGUUCUUAUCUUUAUUAUCUCCUUUCUACUUUCUUUGAUUUAUUCUGUGCUUUUUAAAAAUUUUCUUAGGUGAAACUCAACUCAUUAAUGGGUUUUUUUUUUCUAACAUAGCAUUUAAGAUCUUAAAUUCCCAUCAAGCAUGACUUUACUUGCAUCACACAGCUUUUGAUAUUGGCAUUUUCAUUAUUUAGUUCUAAGUGUACUUUUAUUCCAAUUAUGAUUUCUUGAUCCAUAAAUUAUUAGAACUGUGCUUUGGCCAGGCGCAGUGGAUCAUGCCCGUCAUCUCAGCACUUUGGGAGGCCGAGGCAGGCAGAUCACAGGAGUUUGAGGCCAGCUUGGCCAACAUGGCGAAACUCUGUCUCUACUAAAAAUACAAAAAUUAGCCAGGCGUGGUGAUGGGCACCUGUCAUCCCAGCUACUUGGGAGGCUGAGGCAGGAGAAUCGCUUGAACCCAGGAGGUGGAGGUUGCAAUGAGCCGAGAUCGUGCCACUGCGCUCCAGCCUGGGCAACAAGAGCGAAACUCUGUCUCAAAUGAACAAAAAACCAAAAACCAGAAAAAAAACCCAAAACUGUGUUUUAAAAAUUUCAACCACAUUAGAGCUGUUUAUGCUCUUCUAUUACUGAUGUCUAACUUAAUUGUAUUCUUCUUAGAGAUGGAGUUCGGUUUGAUAGUGAUUCUCUGAAAUUUGUAAAAAUUUCGGCCUGGGCAAUUGCAGCACACUCUGUGUGUGUGCUUGAGAAGAGUGAGCAUUCUGUAAGGCUGGGACCAGGACUUUAUGCACAUCCACCAACUCCCGCCUCCCCCAAUGUUGCAAUAGCUUCCUGUUUUUGCCUCAUUCACCUAUAGUGCAAUCUCUAUGUAGAUUCCAUUUCUUUGGUGCAUUGCAGAGUUUGUCUGGAUUCAUUUUUCUUUCUCUUGAGUGAAUUAUUUAUAAAUUUAGAGAUUCUUUAGAAAUUGUUGAAGUCAAAGAUGCAAUUUUGCAAACCAGUUUGACUGUGGGCAGCCCCAGGGCAUCAUUAGCUGUAGCCUGAGAACAAACACAGGUGCAAACAAAACCAGGGCGUUUCAGCUGGUAAAUGCUGCCAUGAGGCAGAACUUGCUUUUCCCCAGGCUGGAAAUUGGAGAACAGUUUGUCCUGGACCAAGUGAUGAAAGGCAGGGCGACAUGGGGGAAGAAUUGGAACUCCCAGUCCUAUGGCUCAGCUGUAAAUUCUGCAGAGUAGAGCAGAGAAGGGAUUGUUUUGUUCCCUCUUGGGAGAGGACGUGAUGCUGAGGGCCCAGUGUGAGAGGCUUUGGGCACAGAGCGACCUUUAAUGAUUCCCAGAGGCAGCACAGCCCCUGGACACCUGGGCGGCCUCCAGGGAAGGAUUAGAGCUGCCUGCACAUGUGUAGUCCUAGUGAGACGGCAGGAGGCGGGACUCUGGAGACAGGGCUCAGACAUCAGACCAGUCUGAGGACUAGCUAAACAGGGGAAGAGGUAAAAGCACCUCUACAGAAUCCAUGCCCACUGACAACACCCGGACAUUACUGCCACUUUCCAUGACAACAGCCUUAUGACCCAGAAGUUACCACCCUAUUUCUAGAAAUUUCUGUAUAAUCUCCCCCCUUAAUUUUCACAUAAUUAAAAGUGGGUAUAGGCCGGGCAUGGUGGCUCAUACUUGUAAUUCCAGCACUUUGGGAGGCCGAGGCGGGCGGAUCACCUGAGGUCAGGAGUUUGAGACCAGCCUGGCCAGCAUGGCGAAAACCCAUCUCUACUAAAAAUAACAAAAAUUAGCUGGGUGUGGUGACACGUGCCUGUAAUUCCAGCUACUGGGGAGGCUGAGGCAGGAGAAUAGCUUGAACUCAGGAGGUGGAGGUUGCACUGAGCUGAGAUUGUGCCACUGCAUUCCAGCCUGGGUGACAGAGUGAAAGUCUGCCCGGAAAAAAAAAAGCAGGUAUAAAUAUGACUGUGGAACUGCCUCUGAGUUGCUACUCUGGGCACAUUGGCUAUGGGCAGCCCUGCUCUGCCAAUGAGUGAUACCUCUGCUGCUGCUGUACUCUGCCGCUUCAAUAAAAGUUGCUAACACCACCGGCUUGCCCUGAAAUUCUUUUCUGGGUAAAGCCAAGAACCCUCCUGGGCUCAGCCCCAAUUUUGGGACUCACCUGUCCCUACUAGGGGCACCUGUUCAACAUUGCUGGUCCUGGGAGCAGAUGCAGAGGCUGAGCUGUGCCACCGCCUGAGAUGGGGAGAAGCCUGGUGCUAUGGACCGAAUGUUUGUGUCCCCUGCAAGUUCUUAUGUUGAGAUCCUAACCACUAAUGAGAUGGUAUUUGGAGAUGAGGCCUUUGGGUGGUGAUUAGGGUUAGAUUUGGUCAUGAGGGUGGGGUACCUAUCACAGGAUUAGUGCCUUGUAAGAAAAGAUGCAAGAGGUCUUACUCUCUACUUUCUGCCAUGUGAGGCUACGACAAGAAGACUGUUACUGGCCAGGUCCAGGUCCGUUCUGCCCAUGUGCAGUAAAUCAAUCACUAUGACAUGGGUUCUGCAAAAGAAAAGAUACUUAUUCUCAAGGGCACCAGGUGAAGAUGUGGGAAAACAGCUCUCAAAUCCACUUCUCUGAAAAUAAGGCUUAGGGAUAUUUAUGGGUUAGAGAAGUGGGGUGGUUUAAGUCUUGGGGAAAGGUGAUUGGCAGUGGGGAAAAAUAAAGUAACAGAUUCAUUUUGCACAAGUGUAGUCAGGGUUCAUGACAUUUCAUAGGACCUAUGUACAGAAAAUGGUGGUGUUAGCAUGAUCUGAGGGUGGAGUAUUUGGCCCUCUGAUGUCCAAAGGCCACCUCUCAGGCACUUGCGCAGGCCCAGUUGAAGAGUUGGUGGUCUCAGCUGGUUUGAACAUGACAGGAGCUGGCCCAAGUUCCUGAAAAAUAACUGAAGUAACCAUUACCAUGGUGACCUAUAAAUGCUAUCUAUAAAGUAGCCAGUAAAGGUCAGGUGCAGUGGCUCAUGCCUGUAACCCCAGCACUUUGGGGGACCAAGGUGGGAGGUUUGCUUGAGCUCAGAAGUUUGAGGCUUCAGUGAGCUAUGAACAUACCACUGCACUCCAGCCUAGGCAACAGAGUGAGAUCCUGUUUCUUAAAAAGUAAAAUAAAAAAUACAGUAGUCAGUAAAGGUUUAAGUUUUAGAAUUCAGUGAUGCAUACUUCAGCUACUGUGGCCUUCAGCUUCAUGGAAAAAGGAAGAAAAAAUAACAAAAAGCAAGUGACCCAAAGCAAGCAGGGUAAGCAGAUCUCAUCAAAUUAACCACUCAGUUUAAAGAUGGCCAUUUGCAAACCAGGAAGACAGUCCUCACCAGCCUCCAGAUCUGGUAGCAUCUUACCCUUGGACUUUCUGGGCUCAAGAACUAUGAGAAAUAAAUGUUUGUUGUCUAAGCCA